CCUACGGGAGGCAGCAGUGAGGAAUAUUGGUCAAUGGACGAGAGUCUGAACCAGCCAAGUAGCGUGAAGGAUGACUGCCCUAUGGGUUGUAAACUUCUUUUAUAUGGGAAUAAAAUGUUCCACGUGUGGGUUUUUGUAUGUACCAUAUGAAUAAGGAUCGGCUAACUCCGUGCCAGCAGCCGCGGUAAUACGGAGGAUCCGAGCGUUAUCCGGAUUUAUUGGGUUUAAAGGGUGCGUAGGUGGAUUGUUAAGUCAGUUGGGAAAGUUUGCGGCUCAACCGUAAAAUUGCAGUUGAAACUGGCAGUCUUGAGUACAGUAGAGGUGGGCGGAAUGCGUGGUGUAGCGGUGAAAUGCUUAGAUAUCACGAAGAACUCCGAUUGCGAAGGCAGCUUACUGGACGGCAACUGACACUGAGGCACGAAAGUGUGGGUAUCAAACAGGAUUAGAUACCCGGGUAGUC
rnacentral:rRNA from 1 species